GAUGAACGCUGGCGGCGUGCCUAAUACAUGCAAGUCGAGCGAACGGACGAGAAGCUUGCUUCUCUGAUGUUAGCGGCGGACGGGUGAGUAACACGUGGAUAACCUACCUAUAAGACUGGGAUAACUUCGGGAAACCGGAGCUAAUACCGGAUGAUCUUUUGAACCGCAUGGUUCAAAAGUGAAAGACGGUCUUGCUGUCACUUAUAGAGGGAUCCGCGCUGCAUUAGCUAGUUGGUAAGGUAAUGGCUUACCAAGGCAACGAUGCAUAGCCGACCUGAGAGAGUGAUCGGCCACACUGGGACUGAGACACGGUCAAGACUCCUACGGGAGGCAGCAGUAGGGAAUCUUCCGCAAUGGGCGAAAGCCUGACGGAGCAACGCCGCGUGAGUGAUGAAGGUCUUCGGAUCGUAAAACUCUGUUAUUAGGGAAGAACAGAUGUGGAAGUAACUGUGCACAGCUUGACGGUACCUAAUCAGAAAGCCACGGCUAACUACGUG
rnacentral:rRNA from 1 species